rnacentral:rRNA from 1 species
AUGCGUGAGAGGGUGCUGCACAUCCGUGAUGUGGAGGGACCAAGGCGUACCGGGAGCAUGGAGACAAAGCUCGAAGCCGUGGAGCAGCAAGUUUUCAAGUGUCAAGGGAUGGUGGAGCGUGGACUCAACGCCAACCAGAUGAGGAUCACGGAGUUCACCAACAACCACAAGCUGGAUGCCAAAGUCAUUGGGGAGACCAUCUUCAAGCUUCAAGAGAAAAUCGAGCACCUCCAAGCCCAGAUCUAUGACCUGCAAAACCAGAACUGUGAGUAUGAAUAUAGAUUCAAGAGGAUGAGUUUGGCUGCAGAUUUAAGGAUCUCGGAGACUCGAUCAUCCUUCUAUGAUGGAGAGCCUAUGCCUUGGAAGACGGACGGCAAGCCUACAUCAUCAACAACUCCUACUUCAUCACCUCCGAGGACCUAA